AGUGAACGCUGGCGGUAGGCCUAUCACAUGCAAGUCGAACGGCAGCACAGUAAGAGCUUGCUCUUACGGGUGGCGAGUGGCGGACGGGUGAGGAAUACAUCGGAAUCUACUUUUUCGUGGGGGAUAACGUAGGGAAACUUACGCUAAUACCGCAUACGACCUACAGGUGAAAGCAGGGGAUCUUCGGACCUUGCGCGAUUGAAUGAGCCGAUGUCGGAUUAGCUAGUUGGCGGGGUAAAGGCCCACCAAGGCGACGAUCCGUAGCUGGUCUGAGAGGAUGAGCAGCCACACUGGAACUGAGACACGGUCCAGACUCCGACGGGAGGCAGCAGUGGGGAAUAUUGGACAAGGGGCGCAAGCCUGAUCCAGCCAUACCGCGUGGGUGAAGAAGGCCUUCGGGUUGUAAAGCCCUUUUGUGGGGAAAGAAAAGCAGCAGGUUAAUACCCCGCUGUUCUGACGGUACCCAAAGAAUAAGCACCGGCUAACUUCG
rnacentral:rRNA from 1 species